rnacentral:rRNA from 2 species
AAUAGCCUAACGGCUGAACCGGCAACUUGGAAGAAUGUAUAACGAACAUUUCGUAUAAAAUUCUAGAUAGAAAACAGAUAAUGACAACUAUCUAUCUAUUAGUCUUGACCAAAUUACGUGCCAGCAGUCGCGGUAAUACGCAGAAGACAAGUGUUAUUCAUCUUUAAUCGGUUUAAAGGGUACCUAGACGGGAAAUCAAGCCUUAUUAGGGACUAAUUUUCUAGAGUUUUAUGGGAGAAAGUCGAAUAUCUGGAGUAGAGAUGGAAUACUGUGAUACCGGAUGGACGGACAACGGCGUAGGCAACUUUUUAUGUAAAAACUGACGUUGAGGGACGAAGCCCUGGGUAGCGAGUAGGAUUAGAUACCCUAGUAGUCCAGGGAGACAAUGAUGAAUGCCAUAGGCUAGUUAAAUUAGCUUAUAAAUGAAAGUGCAAGCAUUCCACCUUAAGACUAAAGCGGAAACGCCCAAAUUGAAAUCAUUAGACCGUUUCUGAAACCAGUAGUGAAGUAUGUGAAUUAAUUCGAUGAUCCGCGAAUAACCUUACCACGUUUUGAAUAUCAAUCUUUUAUAUUGUAUCCCAACUGCAAUAUCAUAAGAUUAAUACAAGCGCUGCACGGCUGUCUUUAGUUAAUGUCGUGAGACUUGGUUAACACCUUUAAUUAACGAAAACCCUUGUUUUAUUUGUUUUUAUAAAACAGUUCUCCACUAUAUUGGAUAAGAUAACUGGGAUUAAGGCAAGUCAUCAUGGCCUUGAUAUCGU